rnacentral:RNase_P_RNA from 14 species
AUUUUUGGAUAAUCGCGUAGUAUUGAUAUACUAUGAGGAAAGUCCAUGCUAGCACUGGCUGUGAUGCCAGUAGUGUUUGUGCUAGGCGAAAAAAUAAGCCUAGGGAGAUAGCUAGCUAUCUUACGGCAAGCAAAAGGGCUAAGUCUUUGGAUAUGCCUGAAUAGCUUUGAAAGUGCCACAGUGACGUAGUUUCUAGGGAAAUCUAGAAAGUGGAACGCGGUAAACCCCUCAAGCUAGCAACCCAAACUUUGGUAGGGGCAUGGGAUAGUUGGAAUGAGAACAAUCUAUCCUGACUGCUUUGCAGUAGACAGAUGAUUAUCGAAAGAAACAAUUCCUAGUUGUUUCUGGAACAAAACAUGGCUUAUAGAA